rnacentral:lncRNA from 1 species
GGGACUUGGGACUGGCCAUGACAUGGAAAUAUUGCGUGUAGUUAAGAUCUGCACACUCCAGUGAGAUAGUUAAUGUGGUUAAAAUCAAUGGGCUGUGCUAAUUUACCUCAGCUGAAGCCUGCAUUUCACAUGGCUUUUCAGUUCUUCUUUUAAACUCUAUUAAUUCCAGUGUUUAAUUGCAAACAAACUAGAUGAUGGAUCAGUUAAAGAAAAAUAUACUGUAAAUGGUCAAGGAUUUAGCCUGUGCUAUCUCUAUGAUUCCCAUGCAGAUCUUUCAGACCAGUUAUUUGCAUAUGUUAAAAUCUAAUUUGAAUUGUUCAUCACAUAGAACUAGGUAAGUUUUGGGGUUUUUUUAAUGAGAGAUGUAACUUCAGGGCACUAUUAAAUUCUAAUUAAAAAUCAGUCAAAAGCACCCUUUUCUUAGUGUUUGUGCCUGCAGCAACACUUCCACUGUGGUAUCAAAAGCUCAGUUCAUUACUUCUUAAUUAAUUUUGCCUUGAGAAGCUCUAAGUUCUCAGAGGACCUGUUGGGUUUUUAGAGUGUUGUCUACAUAGUGUUUGCUUGUACACAGCAGCCACAAUGACAUUCAGAUCAGGAAUCCUUACCCAUGUAAUCCAAUUUGGUACAAUGUCUGCAGCCUGCCAGCUUUUGGGAACCUGAAAGAUGCCUGAAGUUCACAACACAGAGGAUAUCUUGCCUGGAGCUACUGGUAUGGUAGGGAUUUUCCCAUCUCUCUAUUCCCAGUGUGUCUGUUUUAUAGUUGAAAAGGUUGGUAUACAAGUUGAUUGAUUUUUUUGUGUGUGUUUUGGGGUUUUUUUUGGUUUUUUUUGUGUCAUUUUUAUUUUUAUUUUUUUUAUUUUUUUUAAGGAAGAUCAUGAUGAAUAGAAAACUAGUCUUGCUCCUGUCCCCAAAGAAAUCUUGUCUGAAGUACUUGAGUCAGCCAAGACUUUUUCCCUCUACCAGGCUACUGGAGAUGUGCAUGUUUGUUUUUUUUUCAAGAUAAGUAUCCUGCAAUCCAGAUCUCCCACUGCAAAUGAUUCAUUUCCCCUCUUGGCCCAGCUGUGUGCGCACGUGUGUGGUGGUGGUGAGCCAGAGCUGACCAGUGCCCUGGGACAAAGAGAGGAAAAGAAGAGGUUUUCUAUGCAGUUGUUUCAUAAUUUGCUGCCAGAUCCCAGAAACUGCAGAACGGACACAGACAGAAGCUCAAGAAGAAAUUCUUUCACUGAGCAAGGAUGCAUUGGCUCCCACCUGAUAUCCAGGAAAACUGCACAGGAACAGUGAACCUCACCCUCUGCAGGGAAUCUGGAAGAGGAGCACAGGCUGCAUGCAAGCUGCCUCUCUGCUUCUCCCAUCUCUGGACAGCAGCUCAGGGCCAGGGUUAGUUUCCCUGGAGUUACACUCCUUGAGGCAGUAUUAGAAAGCCUCACCUGCAUGGUUUUGCCCCACAUAAUCCCCAGCCAAAUCCUUUUCUUUAACAGAAUUAAAGAAAAUUAUUUGAACUGCACCUCUAUGUUUCCUGCACCUACACACAGUGUUUAUGGUUCAGCUGGAGAAGAAGAAGUUCAACAAAUGGUCAGUUAAAUUAAACUAGAAAAAGGAUAGCCAGUGGGAGCAGGGAAGAUAAGGAAAGGCUCUAUUGGAGAUGGUACACUGUGGUAUCCCAGCUAAUCCAGAUGCUGAUGGAGCUGGUGAUGGCUGUUCUGUGCCCUACAGAAGCACAGAAAUAGGUGGCCAGGAGUCACCUGUUCCAAGAGUCUCCCCUCUAUUUUGGAUUCAGUUCUGAGUCUAAUGUCCACUGCUGCUCAGUGAGUGUGCACAUUUCAUCAGUGUUCGUGCCAUUUCCCAUGCCUGUCACCCACCCCAGACAUGUGGGCCACCCUGCAGCAGACACUCCAGCUUGUGGAGACUCUUGGGCCAAAGAAGUGUCCUGAGUCCUUCAGGAUGCUGAAGUAAAGCUGCAGCAUUGGCAGAAGCCCUGGUGUGACAGCUCCAGCCUCCGAGGGGAUCCAUGCUCUCCUCUACCUGCAUUAGCCUUAUAUAAUGUUUCAGCUGCAGCUAGUGUGACACUGGCACCUUUGUGUCACCG